UGGGGAAUAUUGGACAAUGGGGGCAACCCUGAUCCAGCAAUGCCGCGUGAGUGAAGAAGGCCUUCGGGUUGUAAAACUCUUUUGUCAGGGAAGAAACGGUAGUAGCGAAUAACUAUUACUAAUGACGGUACCUGAAGAAUAAGCACCGGCUAACUACGUGCCAGCAGCCGCGGUAAUACGUAGGGUGCAAGCGUUAAUCGGAAUUACUGGGCGUAAAGCGUGCGCAGGCGGUUGUGUAAGUCAGAUGUGAAAUCCCCGGGCUCAACCUGGGAAUUGCAUUUGAGACUGCACGGCUAGAGUGUGUCAGAGGGGGGUAGAAUUCCACGUGUAGCAGUGAAAUGCGUAGAUAUGUGGAGGAAUACCGAUGGCGAAGGCAGCCCCCUGGGAUAACACUGACGCUCAUGCACGAAAGCGUGGGGAGCAAACAGGAUUAGAUACCCCAGUAGUCCCUGAGCGGGCUGGCAAGGCGCAU
rnacentral:rRNA from 1 species